AACGAACGCUGGCGGCAGGCCUAACACAUGCAAGUCGAGCGUGAACGCGGACUUCGGUCCGUUAUUAAAGCGGCGCACGGGUGAGUAACACGUGAGUAAUCUACCCCUUGGUUUGGGAUAACAGUUGGAAACGACUGCUAAUACCGAAUAAGCCUCCGCGCCGAAAGGCGAGUAGGAAAAGUGGGGGAGCCUUCGGGCCCUCAUGCCAUAGGAUGAGCUCGCGGCCCAUUAGGUAGUUGGUGGGGUAAUGGCCUACCAAGCCUGAGAUGGGUAGCUGGUUUGAGAGGACGAUCAGCCACACUGGAACUGAGACACGGUCCAG
rnacentral:rRNA from 1 species